rnacentral:lncRNA from 1 species
UAUUUCCAUAAUUCACCAUUUGAAUAGCCUUUUCUUUUGGCUUAGACAAUGCCUACGCCUAGCGACAGCAGCUCCCUCGUGCAGACUCCGCAAGCCAAGAGGCCGUGGAGGCAAAUGCAGGCAGCCAGCACACCUCAAACAGCCACCUUGACUGCGGGUGUGCCACCCUAGUCACCAAGGAAGCAUUUGAGGGAAUACGACAGGCAAUGUAAACAGCCAAUUCUCCAUGUAAACAAUACUCUUCCUCUCACAUGACUCCUAUGCCUCGCCAUGCCAGCUCAGCUAUGCAGACUCCACCAACAAAGAUGCCGCGGAGGCACGUGCAGGUCAGAGGAAAGAAGCAGUGGCACUGGUGUUGACAUUUACCCAAUUUCUUUUCUUACGCUGAGGCAGCCAGCACACCUCAAACAGCCACCUUGAGUGCGGGUGUGUCAGCAGAUUCCUGUUGUACAUAUGCUCAUAAUAAACUUCAGUAAACUUGAGCUCGAUAAUAAACUUGAAGGCAAAUGGUACAUGGAUGCAUUGCUUUUUUGAACAUUUACUGCACACAUACAAUAUAUGUUAUACUUCGCAGCGCUACAGAGUGUAUUUUGAAGCUUCCCUCUAUAUUUUUCACCUUUAAUUACCUAUGUGUUGUGUGGCCCUUAAUGCUGCAGUUCAUGUUGUAGCAGCUGCUUUGUCUGUGUAUUGCGCACUGGAUUAAGCUUGUGAUAUCGACAUGUUCAAAAUGCCUAUACUUCUCUCACAUAUACAUAAUAAUGUUCUGUGCUGUUCUCAGUGUUACAAUAAAAAAUAAAAGCAAACAAUC